UGGGGAAUAUUGCACAAUGGGGGAAACCCUGAUGCAGCGACGCCGCGUGGAGGAAGAAGGUCUUCGGAUUGUAAACUCCUGUUGUUGGGGAAGAUAAUGACGGUACCCAACAAGGAAGUGACGGCUAACUACGUGCCAGCAGCCGCGGUAAAACGUAGGUCACAAGCGUUGUCCGGAAUUACUGGGUGUAAAGGGAGCGCAGGCGGGAAGACAAGUUGGAAGUGAAAUCUAUGGGCUCAACCCAUAAACUGCUUUCAAAACUGUUUUUCUUGAGUAGUGCAGAGGUAGGCGGAAUUCCCGGUGUAGCGGUGGAAUGCGUAGAUAUCGGGAGGAACACCAGUGGCGAAGGCGGCCUACUGGGCACCAACUGACGCUGAGGCUCGAAAGUGUGGGUAGCAAACAGGAUUAGAUACCCUGGUAGUCCACACCGUAAACGAUGAUUACUAGGUGUUGGAGGAUUGACCCCUUCAGUGCCGCAGUUAACACAAUAAGUAAUCCACCUGGGGAGUACGACCGCAAGGUUGAAACUCAAAGGAAUUGACGGGGGCCCGCACAAGCAGUGGAGUAUGUGGUUUAAUUCGAUGCAACGCGAAGAACCUUACCAAGUCUUGACAUCCCUUGACAGGCAUAGAAAUAUGUUUUCUCUUCGGAGCAAGGAGACAGGUGGUGCAUGGUUGUCGUCAGCUCGUGUCGUGAGAUGUUGGGUUAAGUCCCGCAACGAGCGCAACCCUUAUGGUCAGUUACUACGCAAGAGGACUCCGGCCAGACUGCCGUUGACAAAACGGAGGAAGGUGGGGAUGACGUCAAAUCAUCAUGCCCUUUAUGACUUGGGCUACACACGUACUACAAUGGCGUUAAACAAAGAGAAGCAAGACCGCGAGGUGGAGCAAAACUCAGAAACAACGUCCCAGUUCGGACUGCAGGCUGCAACUCGCCUGCACGAAGUCGGAAUUGCUAGUAAUCGUGGAUCAGCAUGCCACGGUGAAUACGUUCCC
rnacentral:rRNA from 1 species